rnacentral:lncRNA from 1 species
GGUCGAAUCCACUGUCUCCUGUUAUGUGAGAUACGUUUCGACCCGGAGCUCCGCCAUUAAAAAAACCUCUUGUUGUUACAUCAAGGUGUCUGAAGACAGUGAUGGUGUACUGACAUAUAUGAAGUAAAUAAGUAAAUUAAUAAAUAGAAAUGAGACUCCAGCUGUGUUGAUCGGGUUUGAAGUCCUCUUGUUGGAUUCUAGAAGAAUCCCAAGUUUCUGGUUCUUGGCCUGAGCUUGAUUCUAUGUUUGUCCUCCUCCCAGACUCCUUCAGCUCUUGAAUAAGGAGCCCAGCUGGCCUAUUGUCUGACAUUUGAAUAGAAUAAACCAUGGGUAUUGUAGCAGGCUAGAGAAAAGCACACCUGCUAAUCAGAAUACAUCAGAGGCAAGAAGAUCAGGCUGGCCUGGGUUACAAAGGACCCUGCUUCAAAAAGAAAGUAGAUGUGAUUUUAUCCAUGACUUGUCUUAGCCUGUUUAUACAUUACAUGUGCUAAAAACACUGGUGGCAGCCCAGGUAAACCACGGUGCCUUUCCAUUCUCAAGUACAUGCAGGUGAUUCCGUGUGCCACCUACAUCAUGCCUGCUUGUAUACUUUUAAUGACCAUUUGGAACUUGCACUUGAUUGGAUGGAGGAGGGGUGCUGGAGUUGUCCCAUUAAGGCUAAGUUGGGGGUGAGGUACAGGGGGACUGUACUGUGAGAUCCUGAGGAUCUGCCCUUGGCUGAUAGAAUCGAGGGUGUAGCAGUCAAGGGUUUGUGCUUCCAGUACCUGUAUCAGACAGUUGUAACUGCAGUUCUAGAAGAUACCUGGCAUCCAUCCCUGUCUCUUCCCAUCCCAGGGUACAUAAUUUACCCUGGCUGGGCACGCCUUUAAACUCCGCACUGGAAAAGCAGGCAGAUCGCCCAUGAAUUUGAGACUAGUCUGGUUUGCAAAGUGAGUUACAGGACAGGCAAGGCUGCUGCUUAGGCUUCCUAGCACCCAUAUGAAAGCUCAGCAGAUUGAAACUUCCUCCUGGGGAUCUGACACCCUCUUCUAUCUAGCCUCCCUGGGCACCAAUGCAUACAGAUGGAGGCGGUGAUGGCUCACGCCUUUAAUCCGAGCACUUGGGAGGCAGAGGCAGGCAGAUUUCUAAGUUCGAAGCCAGCCUGGUCUACUAAGUGAGUGCCAGGACAGCCAAGGUUAUACAGAGAAACCCUGUCUUG